AGGAGGCCGAGUGAGGAGCCACACACACGCACACGCACACGCACACACAGAUUUAACACUGUUCUCCGGUUUCAGCGCUGGUUCAGGCAGCAGUAGAACCUGCAGUGCACAUUCACCUGUGAAACGAUAAUUAUAGCUCCUCACCUGAGGAGCCUUGUCUCAGAAAGGCCUCAAACAGGUCGACCCAGCAUGACUCCCUGCAGCCACACCUGAUUCCUCAGCAGGGCGAGAUCAGCGGGGCGUCACCUGCACAGACGAGGACACCAGCAUGUAUAAAACCGGAGCUUGUCCAUCCAUAAACACGGUCUGAACACGACAGCAGCCAUGGCAGAUUUUGUAAAAAAUAUGUUGGGAAAUGACGGGAUGAGAGAUAUGGUUGCAUCGGAAACAGGUAAAGUGGUGGAGGGCUUCGUGAAGAAAGCAAUGGGUGGAGAAGGAGGAGACCAGAAGGAAGAGGGGGCAGGUGAUGUUGUAGGCACCUUGAUGAGCGCUGUGACUGGAGGAGGAGACAAGAAGGAAGGGGAGGGAGGUGAUGUGGUAGGCACCUUGAUGAGCGCCGUGACUGGAGGAGGAGACAAGAAGGAAGGGGAGGGAGGGCUGGAUGUGUCGAAAGCUUUGGGAGGACUCUUUUAAGUAGAAACCCAACAGACCAGACUCUCUUUCAGCUUCAUCAAACCCUCAGCUCUUCCCAAACUACUGGAAAACAAUUACCUUCAUUAUUUACACUUGAUUUGUUGCACUUCCAUUUUAAAUGUUGCACCACAUUUGGGGUUGAGAAAAUAAACACAAAAAGCCACAAAAAAGUGAUAAAAACUGAUUAAAUCUGAAUAACACACAUAAACUGAUUUAUAAUCUGAUUUUUAAAAGGGUCACUAUCAGUAUUUUGUGUUAUUUUGCUAUCUUGAAUUAAAUAACUUAAAACAUGAGUGAAAAUGUUCUCCUGUGUUUUAUUUUGCUAAUGGUUUCUUGAAUAUUUUUUGCUCUAUUAUAUUCAGCUUAAACUGAGCCUCUGAUUUGGUGAAUUGAGAGGAAAACAAACUUAUUGUUGGGCUGCACAGUGGCGUGGUGGUUUGCACUCUCACCUUGCAGCUAGAAGAUCCUCGGUUCUGCAUGGAGCUUGCAUGUUCUCCCUGUGCAUGCGUGAGUUUGCUACGGCUACUCCAGCUUCCUUCCACUGUCCAAAAAUAUGCUGAGGUUAAUUUAUUAUUGUAAAUUGCCCGUGAUUGAAUGUGAGUGCAAUUGUUUGUCUGUAUAUGUAGCCCUGCAACCUGUCCAGGGUGUCUCCUGCCUUUGCCCCAAAUCAGCUGGGAUAGACUCCAGUCCCCCCUUAACUUACUGUACUUUCCCAGACGUGUUUGUAGUUUCAAUGAAUGUUUUGUAUGAAUCAACAGAUAAUAAAAACAACCGCCUCCAGUGUGAAACAUGAAUGUUCAUUUAGAUGAAUUAAAUUAAACAUAAUGGCAUGCAGAGAUGAACCUGAAGAGCAAUUAAAGGUA
ensembl:lncRNA